AUGAACGCUGGCGACGUGGAUAAGGCAUGCAAGUCAAGGGGGCCCGCAAGGGCAACCGGCAGACGAGGUAGUAAUACGUAGGUACGAACCUUUUAGUUGGGUAUAGCUCGUCGAAAGACGGGGUAAUCCCCAAUAGUUCCCUUCGGGGUAAAGUCGCAAGACGCUAAGAGAUCGGCCUGCGGGGUAUCAGCUAGUUGGUAAGGUAACGGCUUACCAAGGCUAUGACGCCUAGGGGAGGUGAGAGCCUGACCCCCACCGAUGGUACUGAGAUACGGACCAUACACCUACGGGUGGCUGCAGUCGAGAAUCUUCCACAAUGGGCGAAAGCCUGAUGGAGCGACGUCGCGUGAUUGAUGAAGUCCCACUGGGAUGUAAAAAUCUUUUAUAGAGGAGAAAGCUCCGUUUGCGGAGUGUGAUAGUACUCUAUGAAUAAGGGGUUGCUAAACUCGU
rnacentral:rRNA from 1 species